GUUGCUUCUUGGCCUUUUGGCUAAUAUCAAAUGUCCUAUCUGUUCUUAUCAGUUUAAUAUCUGAUACCUUCUAUACAAGGAUAAUACGUGAAAUAGGUUUUUGGAUCAGGGAGAUGGAAAAUAAGUUUGUUUUGCACACUCAAUGCAUUGAGCUGGUAUUUUCAUACUUCCAGGAAAGGUGUACCCCCG